AGUGUUUCUGACAUAUUUCAUUAUAUUUCGUGAUGCAGGUACCUCACCCACUCUGAGCUCUCCCCCCUGCGCGCCCCUCUCAUCCCGAUGGAGCAUUGCACAACCCGAUUCUUCGAGGAAUGCGACACCGACAACGAUAAAUACAUCGCCCUGGAGGAGUGGUCCAACUGCUUCGGCAUCAAAGAGCAGGAUAUGGACAAAGACCUCAUCGUCUAAAUUCCUCGCUCUACGAAAACUGCUCGUCACUACUAACGGGACAAGGUGCUGAUCCCUAAGUUAAAAGAUAAAUCACAGUAACGGUGCUAAUUGCAAAAUGGUUCAUCUUGCUUGUUGUGUUUGAAUAACAACCGUUUCGUAACUAUACCACUAAAAAAAAAAGAUUACAAAACGUGCACAAUCUGUUCUAAUAACCCUCACAUGUUGGUAAAACCAUGGUGUGUUGAACCCAGUAAAGAAAGACCUCGAUGUAAAUGUGUUAUAUAUGUUAUGGUUCGUUCAGGGCAUUUUAAUUGGACAUUAAUUGGAUUUGAGGAGACAAAGAAUGUAAAGUGGAAAAUAAAGUUUCUAAAUAAAUGCUU